rnacentral:rRNA from 1 species
GGAAUAUUGCACAAUGGGCGCAAGCCUGAUGCAGCGACGCCGCGUGCGGGAUGAAGGCCUUCGGGUUGUAAACCGCUUUCAGGAGGGACGAAAAUGACGGUACCACCAGAAGAGGACCCGGCCAACUACGUGCCAGAAGCCGCGGUAACACGUAGGGGGCGAGCGUUGUCCGGAUUUAUUGGGCGUAAAGGGCGCGUAGGCGGUUCAGCAAGUCAAUCGUGAAAACCCGGGGCUCAACCCCGGGACGCCGGUCGAAACUGCUGUGACUAGGGUCCGGUAGAGGUGAGUGGAAUUCUCGGUGUAGCGGUGAAAUGCGCAGAUAUCGAGAGGAACACCAGUAGCGAAGGCGGCUCACUGGGCCGGUACCGACGCUGAUGAGCGAAAGCGUGGGGAGCAAAC